AAUCAACGCUGGCGGCGUGCCUCAGACAUGCAAGUCGAACGCGAAAGUUCCCUUCGGGGAGCGAGUAGAGUGGCGCACGGGUGAGUAACACGUGGGUAAUUUACCUUCGGGUGGGGAAUAACAGUCGGAAACGACUGCUAAUACCGCAUGAUGCAGCGGCACCACAUGGUGACAGUUGUUAAAGCGGGGGAUCGCAAGACCUCGCGCCUGAAGAGAAGCCCGCGGCAGAUUAGCUAGUUGGUAAGGUAAUGGCUUACCAAGGCAACGAUCCGUAGCCGGCCUGAGAGGGCGGUCGGCCACACUGACACUGAAUAACGGGUCAGACUCCUACGGGAGGCAGCAGUCGGGAAUUUUGGGCAAUGGGCGAAAGACCUGACCC
rnacentral:rRNA from 1 species